rnacentral:lncRNA from 1 species
AAAAAAACCAAGAAAGACAAAUGCGGCUGCAUAUUCUUGGAUGUGUUUGAUGAUUAGACUUCUAGCUCUAGGUUAAUCCCAUCAGUAUUUCAUUCACAUAAGAAAACUAAUUAUUAUUAUUAUUAGAUUUUUAGGAUUACUUAUUAAUUAAGAAAACCAAAUAUACUGAAAUUUUUCAAUUGAUUCACAUAAGGAAACUAAUUAUUAUUAUUAUUAGAUUUUUAGGAUUAUUUAUUAAUUAAGAAAACCAAAUAUACUGAAAUUUUUCAAUUGAGUGUGAUGACAUGUAUAUGCCACGUAGGUUGCCACGUAAUUUGGUAUAAAUUUUUGGUGCACGUAGCAGAACUCAUGUUAUUAACACACCCUAUUUUGCUAUUCACACACCUCAUGCAUUUUCAUAAUACUAUAAAUUUGAUUGUGUUUACGAAAUUACCUCUUAAAGUUGCUUUAUAAUUGAUCCACAUCAGAAAAGGAGUGUGUAAAUAAUAAAAUAUGAUGUGUUAAUAUAUAGCACUAUCCAAAUUCAUUCUAUUACAAGAUCAUAAUGAUCAGAUAAAGUACAAGAGACACAUAGAGGCCUAGAAUAAGAGGCACAUAGGCCCCAACAAAAGAGGCCCAUUGCAUGCAUAAUUAAAAUCCACAUUGGGCCCAAAUAAAAACUACAAACCUUAGAUUCCUAGCUAUUACACUUCCACAAUAGGAUCUACGGCUGCGACAUCCCACUGCCAAAUUCGAUCCCCUUCAUGAACGAUAGCAACCAUCGUAGAACCACAUCGCAUCACUCCUCCGCCGGAUGGAACACACGCGUACGCAUGACUCACAAGUAACCAUAGAGACAGUGAUCGAAAAAACAAUCUGAACAGCCUCUUUAGAUUGGACAAGAAAUCGCCAACGAGCAAAAGCUUGCUUAGUGGUGGAGAAGAGAGUGGAUAUGGAACUCACCGUAGCUAAAACCUUCCAAUGGUGGAGCAAGUUUGGUUUGUGGAGAAGGAGGAAACACAAGACGGAGAGGGGGUAAGAGUGGAGACGUACAGAGAUCAUUCCAUCUUUGCAAAUCUCAUGAAAGGAAAGAGAUAGAGUUGGUAGAUGGUGACAUGGGCAAAUCUGGUUGAUCAAUGAGGUUGGGUAAGGGUGGAGAUGGAGGUAAAGGCGACUAGGGAAAAGGUGGUGGGAGGAGUGGGUAUGUAGGGUGGGAAUGUGUUCAAAACGGCUGACCUAGAAGAAGAUUUAUGGAGAGAAGGAGGAGCCUCUCUCUCUAGAAAUAUUCUUUGUUGAUGAUACUUCGCUUUGUUUAAGUUUGCUUAUUUUGGUCCUAUCAACAAAUAUAUGGUUCUGCUUUGUCGUUUUGGUUUCUUUUGGUCUUCGGAUUCUUUUUUUUUUGUCUAAUCUCCUGGUCUUCUGAUAAUUUGUCUUGAUUUUCCUAAGCACAACUAUGAUCACAUUACCGGCGAUAUUCCCCAAUGAGAGCAACUGAUUUUUUUAGCGAGCUAAAUAUGCUCUUGUGUUGUACUUGUCCCGUGUGAGACCUAGUAAGGUGGUUAAUAUAUAUUCAUCUAUUAAAAACAAGGGUAAGGCUAUGGUGUGUUGAUGCAUGUCAUGCAUCAACUUGGUCCUAAAGUUGUAAAAUGAGUCCUUAAGGUAGUAAUAUUAAUCCUCAAAAUUGUAAUUGAGUCCUUAAAGUUGUAAAAACUCAUAUUUACAACAUUAGUCAUCUAAGUGGUAAAAUGUGUCCUUAAAGUGGUAAUUGAGUCCUCAAUGUUGCAUCAACUUUUCUUUUAUCACUUUGAGGACUAAAUUACCACUUUAACGACACAUUUUACCACUUAGAGGACUAAUGUUGUAAAUAUGAGUUUUUACAACUUUAAGGACUCAAUUACAACUUUGUAGAUUAGUAUUACUACUUUAACGACCAAUUUUACAACUUUAGGACCAAGUUGAUGCAUGACAUGCAAUAACACAUUGUAGAAUUUUCCUAAAAAAAAAACAUGAUUAAAUUCAUUUUACCCUCUUGAGGUUUAAAGUUAACUCAAUUUCAGUCAUUAGCCCCUCAAUUUUGAAUAUUCAUCCCUGAAUUUUUUAUUUUAUUUUAUCAGCUAUUUGUUAAAGAUUUUGUUAAUUUUGAAUUUAUGGUUCACUUUAAAAGGUUAAAAUAAUCAUUUAAUGACAAAAAUCACAUUUUAAGGCCUCAUUUCUAAGAUUUCAUGUUCCAAAUUGAACAUAAUCAUAGCAAAUGCACAUGGGACAAUUGAAAAAUAAAAGGAGUAAAUUUUCAAAAUUAAGAAAACGAGACUGAAAUGAUGUAAACCUCAGAACUGAAGCAGGUGAAAUGAAUUUAAUAGCCAAAAAAAGUUAAACUGGGUUGCCAAAUAUUAAAAAAUUGAAGGAGGUCCAGUAUCUAUUUUAACGAGAAAAUUCUUGGGUUCACAUGGUGAAAUUUCACCGAGUUGACGUGGCACACCUGCCCACCACAAGUUUCAGUCAGCCCUUUUAUUUGACUAACAAUGUUGUUUUCGGUUAACGUUAAGUUUGACCAUAGGUGGGGUAAAAAAAAAUUAAAUUUUUGGGAGAGAGAAAUGGGGUAUGUUGGUAUUCACGUGAUCCCCAACACUUUGAGCUUUUAAUUGGGUCCAAAUCAAAUAGGCCGGCUAAGCAGAUCCGACCCGAAAGAAAAUAAAAAAUAAAAGAAGCUCCGCUUCAAAGUUCAAAACCCCAAAACCGCAGCACUGGUUCUCUCUCUGGAUUCGAAGAAAAAGAAGAGGUAGGGGCUCAGCUUCGUUAAUCUCCUCAGUUUCGAUUUCAACUAUUUGAAUAUCAGCUCAAUUCGAUUUCGGAUUCAAUUUCAUUGAUUUUCUUUUCGUUCUGUGCGGUGAUGAUUGUUAGGGUUUCGGCGAUGAUUUACACGGCGAUAGACACGUUCUAUCUGAGCGACGACGAGCUGGAGAACACGCCGUCGAGAAGGGACGGCAUAGAUGCAGCUACCGAGACCACGCUCAGAAUCUACGGCUGUGAUUUGAUCCAGGAGAGCGGCAUUUUGCUCAGAAUGUACGUGUUCUAUCUCCAAAGUUUCAAUUUUUACUUUAAUUUUUUAAUUAAUUGUUCAUAAUUGUACAAGAGUGAUGUUUGUUUCGAAUUUUCGGGCCGAAAAAAGUAAAAUUUGUUUGUUAAAAUUUGAUGAAUUGCAGGCCUCAGGCUGUUAUGGCCACUGGUCAGGUUUUGUUUCAUCGUUUCUAUUGCAAGAAGUCGUUUGCACGCUUCCAUGUCAAGGUACAUUUUACUUUCGUGUUUAUAGAGUUGUUGCUUGAUUGGCCAUUUGUUUGGAUUCUCAGAGAUUGUGAGAAGUUAAGAAGAUUAGGAGUUUUUCUGAUUUUGAGAACUAAGGUGAUUCUGUUUUGAUUUUGGAAUUUGUGUUUUUGUACUUUUAGUAGGUCCAUAUAGGUCUCCAUGUUGUAGUGUUUUUGUUUUGGUUAGUGAAGAUGAAAUAGUGCUGUACAAUGAAUAGGCUGCUUUUGUAGUUUCUUGGUUUUUCAAAAGAAAGAUACUUGUUUUAGGGGAUUGUAAGAAGCGGAAUAUCAUACGUUAUGUGUUAGUAAUGAUUUUGCCGGAUUUGAUUUUCUUUUGUAGAAAGUUGCUGCUAGUUGUCUUUGGCUUGCAUCAAAGCUGGAGGAAUGUCCUAAGAAAGCUAGACAGGUGAUUAUUGUUUUCCACAGAGUGGAAUGCAGGAGGGAGAACUUACCCAUUGAGCAUUUGGAUCCACAAUCAAAGGUCAGUAGCUCAUGUUUGUUAUGCGUAUCACGUGUCAACAAUGUUUCCGAUUAUCCUCCUUCUGAGCCAAAAGCAUCAGAUUUAUUGCGAAGCAGCAUAUUUACGUUGCUCUUAUAGAACUCAUGGUUUUCGUUUUGUUUUUGGCAGGAGUAUUCAGACUUGAAGGUGGAGUUGAGUAGAACAGAGAGACAUAUUUUGAAAGAGAUGGGUUUCAUUUGCCAUGUUGAGCAUCCCCACAAGUUCAUUUCGAAUUACCUUGCCACUCUUGAAUCACCUCCAGAGCUAACGCAAGAAGCCUGGAAUUUAGCAAAUGACAGGUGCUUUUUCAUCAGAAACCAAUUUCUUUUUUGUUUUGUUGGUCUUGAUAUUUAACUUAUAACUUUUGAAUUUGAAGUAGGUGUGUUUGUUUAUUUACAAUUAUCUGUUUUACCUGGAGAUGUUAGUCUAUUACUCUUUUAUUAUACCAAUGAGUGUUAGUGGAAUGUUUAGCCGACCAUGUUUGCUCCCACCUGGUAUGGGGUCGGAAAUCCCUCAUUUGCUAGAGAUUCCUGCCUCUUAAAGAUCGUAGAGUUAGGAGGCCCCAGUUUUUAGUCAGGACCUGUCAAGCGGUUUUGGGGAUAUCUGGGUGUAGACAAGAAAGUUCAUAAUGUGAUGCCUAUUGAUACAGCAGUUUACUUUAAAUAGAUGGAAAUAGCUAUUUUAAAAACUGUUUUAGAACCAUUAGAGUUUGAACUCUGUUGUGUAGAGUAGAUUUCAUGCCGUAUUUAUAUGGGUUGCAUGUCUAUCUAGAAAACUGGAAUGGUGUAGCAUGUCAAAAUCAAAAGUUGGGUCUCUAAUAGGGGGAUAGAUCAAUAAAGCUAAUUUAGAAAAGGAAAGGACUUAAGAACUCGUCUGCAACUAGUAAUGGAUUUGACUCCGAGCUUUCAAAGGUUUAUGGUUUUUAAAUGGCAUUUGAUUUUGCUUUUCACUAGAAUGAUCUCAUGAACUUUAUGCUAUUGGUUUAAUUCUUAUUGUUUCUCAACUUUUAUUUGGAGCAGCUUGCGUACAACUUUGUGUGUUCGAUUCAAGAGUGAGGUUGUUGCUUGUGGUGUUGUGUAUGCCGCUGCUCGGAGGUUUCAUGUCCCCCUUCCUGAGAAUCCCCCUUGGUGGAAGGUAUUUGAUGCUGACAAAUCAGGGAUUGAUGAAGUUUGUAGGGUUCUUGCUCAUCUGUAUAGUCUUCCUAAAGCUCAGUAUAUUCCGGUCUGUAAUGAUGGAGAUUCAUUUACAUUUUCUAGCAACAAAUGGAAUUCACAGUCCCAGCCAGAUUCAAAGGUAUGAGCUUUGUCUUUGCCCCUAUGAACUUUAGGAUAAAUAAAACCUGCUAUAUACUAUUUAGAUAUUCUAUUGCUAACGCAGAGUCUAUUUUCAUUGUUGGUCCAUAGGAAGUUCCUAAGAGUAGCCCAUCAACUGUUGCUGAUACAUCUAAUUCAAAGGCGCCAACAGCUGUAGCCAAUCCUGAAUCCUCUGGAUCAAAGGGUGUAAGCAUAACAGCCUCCGAUAAGGUAAAGGAUUCUAAAGAAAGUGAUGAUGAAUCUAAGAGCUUGCCUGUUGAUUUAGAGGUAAGAGAAGAUCUGAAUAUGAAAUCCAAGACUGAACAAAGCAAAAGCAGGGACAGGGACAGGGACAGGGACAGGGAUAGGGAUAGGGACAGGGAUAGGGAAAGAGAGAGGGACAAGGAUAGAAUAAAGGUACGAGAUCGUGAUCGGGGAGAUAGAGAGGAAGCUGAGAGGGAUAGAACCAAGGACCGAGGUCGUCGUUCUAAGGACAGAGCCAAAGAUUCAGGUUGGUCACUUUAUAUAUUUCAUCCACCACUUUCAUACAAUAUAUCCAUCUUCCUGCCUUUCGCUCACGACUUUGUCUAUUCUAAACAUUUUUGUCUUUAACUUUUGUGGUUGCAGGGGGGCAUUCAGAGAAAUCAAGACAUUUCUCAUCAAGAGGUAAUUAGAUUAGAAAAUAUGAAGGCUGUUUUUUCCCCCAAAGAAAAAUAAAAUGUGGUUGAGCCUAAUAAUCUGACAUGUAUCGUUAUUUUGCAGACCGUGACUACCACAGUUCCUCGUAUUCUUCAAGGGAGAAGGAUCGCUAUAGACAUCACCCCUAUGCCUGAAUGGUGAAUGUAUUCAUCUCGGUUUCGCUUGAUUAAACUUGUACAAUUCAAAUACUUGAUUGCAUGUUGACACAGUUUCGCAGAAAAGAAAGUGAUUUCCUGUUGAAGGGCCAGGGAAAGGCAGACGUUUUGACGAUGAAAAAAAAAGGGCUUGUCUGAGUAAUCUUUAAAUACCUCGGCAGCUCUUUGAGAAAUAGGUUCAAUCCGUAUGAACAUGAUGGAUGUUGUGGAGUGGAAAAGUAGAAAUGUUUGUGAUUUCAUAAUGUCCGUCUUAACUUGAAAAGCAUCCAAAAUUUAUAUAGCAAAUCUAUCACCUCUAUCUUUAGUCGAAGAUUUAAUUUCUUUGCUAAAUCAAUAUCAAAUACAACCAACUACUAUAUAAACACCAUUCAUGCAGUCUCAUCCUUCAAGGUUCUAGACUCAAGCUACAACAUUGGCAUAGAAAUCAACAGUCACUGAUGGUGAUGCGCCGUAGAUCCUCGUCGCAGUACUUGCUCUUCUCCUCCCUCUCAUCGCUGUUGUUGCCGGCGGCAUCAAUGUCGUGUGGAAGCCUAUUCCAAGCAUCAUUGACCCAGCAGUGGUUGGCCUACGUCUCACUGGCGGAUCCAGCCCCAGGCUCAUCUGGGCUUAAGCCUAAGUGAACCUUUAGUCAUUUCACAAGUAAGUAAAAAUAAAAAAAAACAAAAAAAACAACCUACUUCACAUCUAAUUUUAAUUGAGGCUUGAAGGAUUACCCUACUUCUAACGCACGCAGCUUAACCUUAAUCAAGCCUAAUUUAUUUAUUUUUCAGACGUGAUAUGAAGGUUCUUCCUAAUUCAUAAGUAUAGAUGCGGAGGCUCUAUCAUACUUUUUUUAGAUGUUGUUCUAUUUAAGGUUCUCCCCUACUUAAUUAAGCUACUUCACAUAUAAUCUUAAUUGAUUAAGGCUUGAAGGGUUACAUACUUCACCACACCCUGAAUUAAGAUGCUGGAGAGCAGCGACUAGCAUUUUCUCAAUUCCUAAUAUCAAUAGCCCUCUGUCUGUCUUCCCCCUUCCUCAGCCCUAAAUUCAUAAUCGCGACUCUUAUUGACUUCAUCAUUUGCUGGUUGUCCACGACUUCUUUGUGAUGAAGGAUCGCCAUUAAUGAGUCUUUGUCCCAAGCUAACUCUCUAGAUGUUACCGGUUUCGGUGAAGAAGAGAGAAGAAAAUAUUUAUCUCACUGCCCAAUUUCGUCUCCUUGGUUUUCAUCUUUGAACACUUGUAUAUUCGUAAGUAGUUUAAUAAGUUGAAUCUUUGAAUUAAUUUGUUGAUUAUGAAUUUGUCGUGGGCUUAAGUGCAUACCAUUUAUGAAUGUCUGAUGAACAAAGUGUCCCACACCGUUGAUAUUCGUUAAAAAAAUUUGUUGUUACAAUUAACCCAUGUAUAUUUUUUAUCCUGGAUCCGCUAAUGCAGACGUUUACUAUAUGCUUAUUCUCGUCGCCAGAAAUGAGAAAGGCUUCGCAGAUUAUUGGAAUACUGUAAAUUCUGUAAUCCUAGAUCACCAGCACGACCGCAGGGAAUUGAUAGGCUUUUAUUGAGAUUGAUUAGUUGCAUAUGACCUUUCUCUCUAACAACAAGAAUUAAUACUCGAAAAUGAGUGUGUUGUCAGUUUGUGUCCAAUUUCAUUAUUCAUUCUAGAAUAAUAAUAACUUUAAAAAUCUUUAAAUUUGUCUGGACACUGGUGUGUAAAAAACCCAAAAUACAAAAUGGGUUUCCUGCUUGUACUGUACUGACUGUAGAACUCCCCUUGCUCAAUGAAAUGAUCGGAAAGAAGAUAAAAAUGGAUUUGGGAGCUUUGUAAUGCAAUGCAUAUGAACUACUUCCUGUAAAGUCUUGAUAAUAAUAUUGACAAACUACAAAGAUGAAUCCUUUUAAAAUUUGUGAGAGAUUCUAGAUUCUAGAGAUUUAAGUUGCUAAAUUUCUGCCCUUUGUAAGAGGAAGACAUAAGUGCUAACUAAUCACCGGUCAAUUUCAUCUACAUAUCUAGACGAACUUUAGGGGUGCUGAUACUAGAACACUGUUCGCUGUUCUAAAGUUGUGGAGCAGAUGGUUGGGUUGCAUUGAAAGUGAGAGGCUUGAUGUCUCUGGCGCGCAUGUAGCUCAAGAACUGUCCAGGCAGCUCUUCGAGAAGAGAUUGAAGAGCCGAAAUUCGCCCACCUGCUAAAACCACAAUGAGUUUUUGUUUUAAUUCAGAAUAAAUAGCUUCAAUGCAUAUGAACAUGAUUAAUGUUGUGGAGAGGAAAAAUAGAGAUGUUUGGGACUUACUAUGCACAUCUCUCAUAGGAACAAACUGUACGACGUCUCUUGUAGCCACACGACCUGUUGAACUUGAUAAUCGCUGUCCAUUAUCAGCAUCGAGAAUCUGCCAAAUACAAUAUUCACAUGGGCAUUCAGAAUUCUAGUUGUUGAAAUUCCAACAUAUGUAGCAUCAGGAGAAAGAGAUGACUCGUAAAAAGAAACAAAAGCAUACCUCCAUUUGUUUAAAAUCCGCUGUUCCUACUCCAACUAUUAGAAUUGAGAGGGGAAGAUCAGAUGCCCUCACAAAAGCAUCUGUUGUUUCCUGGAGGUCUGUAAGGAUCCCAUCCUAUAAAAGGUGGCAUUUAUGUCACCUCAAUAAAAGAGAUCUCACAUAAAACAAACACUUGCAAAUAAAAUUCAUCCUUCUCUUACCGUUAUAAUCAGCAACACAUAGUACUUAUUGUUGCUGUGGAAUAGAGAAUUGCCAGCAAUCUCUGCAGCCCUAUUAACCACUGGGCCAAAGACAGUGGGUCCUGAUAGAGUAACAUUGUGUAGGGCACUGGCAUAAGCAGUCAUUAUGCCUUCAACUCCUUCAACCUAAAUAAAUGAAACAAUCACCAACAUAAAAAAAAUUCAUUGGUCAGUGACUUGGUAUGUAAGUUUGCAAACCAGAGUAGAAUGCCAUAUGUGAGGAACCAGACUCUUAAUCUACCUCAAAGCCAGUUGCAGUUCCAUCCAAGUUAAAACAGUGCGACACAGGCCCUCCAGCUGUCCUUCCUCCAAAGCCCCAAGCAGGAAAACGUUUAUCAGCAUCAUAAAACUGAAUAACUUCCCCAACUUCUGUUAUUGCCUGCAAAAUGCAAAAAUAAACUUGAUUACAUUUACAGAUACCACUCAACUAUUACUCACAGAAGAUUCCUUCUAUGGUUAUUUCUUUAAAUCAAAGAACACAUAUUGUGUUGCAUGUUAUCAGACAUUUGUUAAUUACUAAAAGGAAAAAUAUAUAACCAAAGUCUUAGUUAUUAAAGCACCACAUUUGCUAACCUGCUGGUAAGAAUUCAACCGGCCAUAUGUAUCAAUGUAGUGCAACGAAUCAGGUUUUCGAGGAUCUCCAUUUGAAGCUGUGACAAAAUUCAGUAUCAAGGCAUGCAAAUAGAUUGGAAUGAUAAACAUUUCAAUAGUGCCGCUCAAUUCUUACCAGUAAAGUCAACAGCAACCAUGAAGUUAAGCUCAAACCCACUGGAAAUAUAAUCGACAAAGCUGAACUGCUGCUUCUCAUUAAAUUGAUCCACAAACAACUGACCCUUUGACAACUACAACACCAUAUUAUUAACAAACAGUGAGUACAUUUACAUGUAUGCUACAAGUAUAUGAACUAGAAUGCAAGCUUGAAUAAACACCUUUUCACAACCAAGAGAAGAUGGAAUGACAAAAUUCACCCUACUUCUUUCUUUGAAUAAUCUCUCCAGGUCUGCCACAGAUUUUUGAAGUUUCCUAAAUUAGACAAAGAGGCAAAUUGAAAAAGGUUGGUUGUCUGCCUUUUACAGGCAAAAGUACAAAGUUGAGAUAAAAGUGAAAAAAGAACCAAUAGUUUUAAUAAUUACCCAAUAAGAACAUGAUUGCCAUUACUGUUGAAAUCAAAGCACUCGAUGAUUAAUGGAUUAUCCUGCACCAAAUUUAAGUUGCAUAAAUAUUCUACCUUAAUUGUCAAUCAACUAACCGUAUUUAACAGGUGAGCAGAAUUGGCAAGCUUACCUUGCUUCCAAACUGCUGCAUACUCAGGGACAGUGGUUUCCAAACUGGAUUUAAAUUGUUAUCCACUACUUCAGUCUUACAAAUUGGAACAGAACUUCCACUCUCAACAAUUCUUGAUACUCUUAAGAAAGGAUCCUAUAGUAAAGAAGUCAAAAAGAUAUAUAAGAAUCACUAAACCAAACCAAAAAAAAAAAAAAAAAGAAUAAUACUAUGUAUGAAAUGAAAAAGAUCUUAAAAAUCGGUUUCAUAAGGCGUACACUUUUAGAGAAGAAGUCUUUGUUUUCCAAUUGGGAACAACAAAACUUUAUCUCAACAACACUCUUCGAAGCCAUAGUUUCUUCAGCAUGGACAGUGAGUGUUCCUAAGUUUCUCGUACCUCCACGCCCGCUUCUGUUAUGCAGCUUCAAGGUUACACUUCGACUUUGUUUUGUCACUAUCUGCAAUUAGAAAAGAACAUGUUUACAUACACAAUACAUCUUACCAUUUAGCAAAUGAUAAAACAUUUUUGCAGUACAAGACAAACAAACUGAAAUUGCAAUAACAAUUAUGAUUUUGACACUAUCUUCAUACAUAGUGCAACACCCCAAUGAAAUGACCUAUUUUCAUGAACUCUCUUUAUCUGAAAGUAGUUUACCUCUGAAAGAUUGCAACUGCCUUCCCCAAGAAAUUCCUGAUCCUCCAACUUCAGUGUCUGCAAUGCAACACAAUGAGAUGAUUAAGAAAGUAAACUCUGCCUUUAUUUAGAGUUCACGUAUGGUUUAUAUUCGCACCAUGAUGCAAAAUUUAUAGAUCAUAAACAGCAAAAGACAAAAGAACUUUUGAAGGAGUUGUUUUACUGUUGCUUCCAUCACGCCUGAUGUCCUAAUUUGUUCCAUAUUAUUCCUAGAUUUUGCAAAAUGUGCACAAUCCUAGGGCUAUGCCCAACCACACAUAUACUAGUACACUUCUUCGGGUUGUUUAAUUAAUAUAUAUUUCUUGCCAAUUCAAUGUAUUUGAGAUGUAAGCAAUUUACUACACCUUCAUGGUUUGAAACCUGAACAACUGUAGAGUUCGAAAAAUAGCAUGGUUUAUAACAAUUCAGAAUUAUGUUUAUAGAAGCCUUGAUAGAAGAAAUGGAAUACCUUUACGUUUACAUUGUGAUAUUUCGUAUCGACAUCAUAGACCUGGAAUCUGGGUUGAACACAAAACAAGAAAAAAGGAAAGGUCAGGGAAGCAGCCUAAUCAAACCAACACAACUUAUAUGCGGCUAAGAAAAGAAAUAUGAGACUUACAUCAAUGGCUGCACAACCUCGAACUGAUAGGAAACUGUAAUUUUCUCAAUCCAUGCUGGACUCAAAUUAUUCAUUAUCACUUCAGUUCUCCCUAGCUCCUCUAGCUUACCUAGAAAACCAUCUCCUUUCUUCACAUAAACCACGACCAUGGGAUCACUCUGAAACAAAAUAACAGAUGUUAAAAGAACUAUUCAUUACCAUGACAGAGUACCCAUGUUAAAUGUGAUGUAAUACAUAACAUAGAACUGUAUCAAAGAGAAAAUAUUCAUUAUAUUUGUUCUUGAUUGAUAAGAACUAUGCUAGGCCUUCAAUGUGUAAGGGUGUUGUAGUAAUAACAAUUAUUGACAUGAUAAAGCAAGAUAAACAGGUCAUGCUCAUGUACUCAAUUUACGUUCUUCAGUUUGCAGUAUUGUAAUAACCAUGAUAAACAGUUAUAAGAAAAUUUGGAGUGAAAAGUGCUGAUUAAGCUUUAGCUGUAUCAAUUACUGCUAUAUCGAUAUGGAUAUAUAAACAUACCUUUGAUGCAAUGUCCCGAUCAAUCAAGUUAGUUGCUGACAGUGAUAACUGCAACACAGACACGAAAUCCAACAUUAAAUUCCAAAGAAGGAAACAGGAGGUCCGACUAGAAUAUAAGAAAAUGAAGAGAACCAUCAAUUACGAGUGCAAAGACACCAGACUUAUCACAUCCAUCAAACGUACACCAAAGUUUAAAGCAGUCAUAAUCUUAAGGCACUUAAUUACUUCUACCAGACCAGAUGGCAAAUAAUAUUGAGUAUUGUACUUCAUAGUCCAUUACAGCUUCAUUACAUUGUCCAGCUUAAAGGUUCAUUACUGUCUCAAGCUAGGCCGAAUACUGCAGAGUGAAUCCUCUAGGAGUAGCAGUAACCAAUUUUAGUCAGUUGAUAUAUAAACCAUUAAAUAAUGUAUUGAAAGACAGAGCAAAAGCAAGUGGUACAAAAUGGAUCGAGGCCUACUGAUAUUCUUGAAAUGGCCCGGGUAUACAGAUUGUCAUUCUGAUGAUGGAGACCUUACCACAACUCCACAUCCACUAGAAUGAUGGAGUCUCUUUAUAAGUGGCACCUAUGCUCUUUAUAAGUAGCACAGUAUUAUGACUUUUCUCACACCUCCAAGUGACAAACAAUAUUUUAAUAUCAAUCAACGGUUUUGUCCUAUGCUCUCAAGUCAAAUUGGCAUAAGAUAAAUCAGAAUCUAGCUAAUGUUCUGUUUCUGAGAGAAUGUUGUAGGCUUUUUGCAGACAAGGUGGUCGAGGUGCAGUACUCAAUCAACAUGCAGCCUAAGAAGCCAGUCACGUAAAAUACCGAUAAUGUAUGCAAAUAAUCUGAACAGGAUGUCACAUUACUUGGUAAUUGACAAUGGUGUUGUGUGCAAGACAAACACAGCAAUUUUAUACAGUUGAACACAGUUUUGAGUUUUAAAUCUAUAGUGAACAACAUAGAAACUUUCGUGUUGAACAUUCAAGAAGACUUGCUUGCAGACCAGGUUGCAACAGAAUACAGGCUGCAAUUCGGGGCAAGACAGUAGUGGUUUCAAAAUGGAACACAAAAGUCAUUGGCAAAAUUGACCCGCAGCAUGCCAUCUUGAACUCAGGCACACCAGUUUUGAUAAACCACAAUACUUUAAUCAACAAUCAUGCCGUCUUUACUUUCCAGAAAGAUCAUAGCACAAAGUUUAGGAAUCAAAGUUCCUUUUUCAGUUGGCUCAAAAAACAUUCUAUACAUUAUAAUAAACAAAAAACUAUAUAUUGAAAACAGAUUGACCAGGCCAAAUUACAUGAAACUGAUUAUAAAUUAAAAAUUCACCAUGCUAAUAAAAUAUGAGAUUAUUAGUUUCAAGAACAGAGGAACCAAGCUAUUCAGUUUUCUGGGCAAGUUUCAAGUUUCAAUCUUUACACGCAUCGAUAAAAAAGUUUCAAUCUUUACAGAAUCUAGACAAACCCAGAACCACAGAAAUAUCAAUCCUGUUGUUUUACCAAAAGAUAAACAAAAAUCAAUCGGAUAUGUUCUAGGGUUUUAAAGAAGCCAAAACAGUAAGAUUGGGGCAAAAUGUAGGUUACCUCGAGAGGAGUGCAUAGUGAUUCAACCCCACGAGCGCGGUUAAAGAGCUCAACGGCGUCGUUUACGUCGCCGUCCCUGUUGAUGGGCCUCUGAUGGCCCCCACCCACUGCUUGCUUGCCACCUUUCACGUCGGAAAAACACCCUCCCAUCUCUAAACCUCUCUUCUUCUUCUUCUUCUUCUUCUGCUUUUCUUUCUCUCUGUUACGAAUUCAAAACCCUAAAUCUUUAUCGUCUCGCAGGGUUUUAUAUAUAAGAGAGUGCUACGACGUUUAGGAGUCUUCGUCGAAGCUUACCGGACCGGAAAUAAAGCCUGCUACUUCAACAGACGCGGUUGCAGAAAUAAUCUGAUAUAAAAAAUAAAAUCCUUCUUGGAUAAAACUCUGACAAUGUUCUUUGCCUUAUUUUGCUUGGAAAUUGUUGCGAAUUUAAUUAUUUGUUUACAAAGAAAACCAAAUUCUUGUUGAAAUUAGACUUAUAUAUAUAUUUUUCGUUUUUGAAGCUAAAUAUGUCACGAGACUAGUAAAGGGAGAGUAGGUAGUGUGGGUGGUUUUAGCUAUACUUAGUAAAAUUUGGUGAGAUGUCGAGUUUUGGUGAUGUGGGCACGGUAUUUUUUGCCUAUUUCAGUAACAGGAAAUUAAGUUUAUCGAUAGAAACACGGCUUUUCUUUAUGUUUUCUGGCUGAUUGAUAUGGAAUGGAUCAACGGUAGGGACGAGGUAGUGAGGAAGAACACAAGCGAUAAUGGUGUCGGAACAAGAGAGUGAAAGGUAUAGCGCGUAUUAUUACGAGUAAUAAUCUGUGUGCUUUGAUACUUGAAAAAAGAGUGAAAAGUAUAACACGUAUUAUUAAGUGAUGAUAAAUAAAAACUUAUGAUUAGAAUUAUAAAAAGAAUCUUAAUCUUUCAGGUCACGUUUAUUAAGUGAUAUCAACUAUUUACAUUUGUAGUUUGUUUUUUUUGUUGAUGAAUAAUAAAUCUGCUUGAUGUUAUCCAACCAUACGAUUAAAACAUUAAACAGAAAUGAUGGACAUACAUUCAUUCAUGGAUGAUUAGAGUUACUUCUGGUGGCAUAAGAAGGCAUAGAAGAUCGAAGAGUUUUAAAACUCAUCGGCUCUUGAUCCUGGAAUAGUCUUAUGGUGGUUCUAGUGGACAUGGAGGAGUCAGAUUCAGCUUCUUCGAUCUGUUCUCCGUCCGAGAGACGCCUUCUGCAUAGGGUGGACUAAAGGUAUUUGAUAAGUCAGGUACGCCUAACACUUGUUGUUUAAUGGUUACUAGCUAGCUACUCUCCUUUUUAUGGUUUUCAGCAUAGAAAUGAUGUACGUUUUUCUAACUUUUUUUCGCACUCAAAUUGUUUUUUACUUCUAUCUUAUCAAUAUAAGGCAUGGUGUAUCUUCGCAAAAGAAAUUAAGAAAAAUUAAGUGGAAGAUAGUUUAAAAAACUGGGAUUUCUAGGAAACGUUUAUUCAUUUCUUUAUUUGAAUUUCUAAAAGAAAGUUAUCUUCAAAGCGUCCAUCGCAUAUAUGCGUGGAUCAACCUGUUAUGCGUUGGAUUGUCAUCGGCAAAAGCGAGGUGAAGAACGGAUCCUCAAAAGCUAUGUUUUCAGGACUCGAUCUCCUCUUCAAAAGGCCGGGUAUAUAAAUAUGUUUAAAACAGAUUAUGGUUUCGUGACUAGCUCGUACUUUCACAUUUUUGAUCAGAGCCUAAUUACUUUCCAAUUGCUCGUCUGUACCACCCAAUUAAUAAACCAGUGGAAAUGGGCAUAAAGUUUACUGUGUAUUACUCUACUGUAUAUAUGUAUAUCUCUAGCUAGUGUAUGUAUCCUAGUUUACCAAAUGCAAUAGUUUACUGUGUAUUGCAGCAAAACACACACUCAUAUCUCUAUAUAUAAUUGUUACGACGUACAUUAAUAUUCUGAAUUCUAGUUCUAGAUAUUCGGUCAUAAACUGAACGUGUAUAUAUUUAUAUAUAUAUAUAGGGUCCUUCUAAUGAAAAAGUUGGUGUAAUCCCUCAUCCCUCAUAUAUAGUAAAAAAAAAAGGAUCCCUCAUUAGAAGGUCCUGUAUAUAUAUAUAUAUAUAUAUACAUAUAUAUAUAUAUGGUGUAUUCUUAUACUAUCUAGUUCUGUGGUGGUUCAAACUUGUCUAGCUAAAUUGGCCGAUUCAAGAAGCUUUUACGUACUGCUAUAGAUUUUCAUUUUACUACCUGGUAACUAAGUACAAACAACGUCACUUGCAUCGUCAUUUUGCCAGUACUAUUUGAUCGAGUUGGUAGAAAAAUAUGUCUGCAUAAUUGCAUUGAAAUACCUGGAUGAUGAUGCUACAUAUAUAAUCCAAUAAUUUACAUCGACUAGCUAGCUAGUCUCGAGGAAUCAAAGUAUUCCAAUUUCCAACCAACUGGUACCCAAAGUAUUAUCCAUUUUAGAGUCAACCAUAUAUGCAUGAUAUAUAUAGAGGCCGGAUCAGAGCGGACGUCCGCACCGGCCUUAAAGUGCGGAUGUCCAUUCGUUCUCUACCUUCUGGCGCCGACGACAGUGCGCCUCCACCCUAGAAGACUCCAGCAGCAUCCCCGACCAUUUUCCCUCUUCGGUGAGUCCGUUAUUUUCCAGUUUUCCGGCGAGAUCAUCCAAAACUUCAAACAAAGUCGAUCUCGCCGGAAAACUGAAAAAAAACGGACUCGCCGGGGAGGAAAGGUGGUCAGGGACACUGCUGGAGUAGGGUAUAGAACGGACGGACGUCCUCACUUUAAGCCGAGUGCGGACGUACGCUUUUGAUCCUCUAUAUAUAUAUGGUCUCCGGAGCCAAGUUAAUUUGAAAUUGGCGGGAAAUUCCCAAGUCGAUUCCAAACUUUUCCGACAAGAUGAUCAUAGUAGUAUGCAAUUAAGCAUGUAUUUGUAUGGAAACAAGUUGGAUCGACGUGGAAGUCAAAGUCGAUCAACGUAAGUCAGUCAACGAGAUCAUAUAUCCAUUUUAUAAUCAGAGAGAGAAUAAAAUAGAUCGAGUAGAGACGGAUCUGAAAUCAAAGCUAGCUCGUGAGUUUUGAAGUGAUGGAAAACUGGCGAAGACGCGCGAUGGACUUGAAUACUCGGUUUUAGCUAGCUAGAAAAUUAUUCAGUAAGAUUAUUCAAGAAAAUAUAUACCACUGUAGGUGAUAUAUCCUUAAUCGUUUCGAAACUUACUCAGAAGAUUCAUCGAGUAAAAUGUCAAUACAGUUACUCCACCCUUCAAAUUAUCCUGUUGAAGAUUUUACAAACCAGAGAGAGGAAGAUACAGCACCAAUCCUACAAGUUGAAUUUUCUAAUUCUUGGUGCUCACAGACACAGUAUUGGACUUUUCUGCAAGGGACUUGUAUUAUGGAUUACACCUCAGGCGCAUCUCUGGUUUGUUCGGUGCUUUUGCACGAGAGGCCGGCCGGGUCCCCGGAAACGGUCAGUUAACUCUCUGGAUUGUUCUAAACUUCUGUAGGAAUCUUUAUUUCAUUCCCCGACCGACCGGCGCCCUUAUCUUCAUGUUUCGGUAUGAGGGCAAGACAAACAUGCAUCCUGCAACCAAUUUGCUAAUUAAUGAAAUGAUGGAUUUUUUUUGUCAUAAGUAAUGCUAGGUGAACCAUCUUUUGGGAACCACUUAGAGUCCACUUUAGGUGACAGCUUACGUGGCAUUGUCACUUUAUCAAAACUAAUUUCAACUCUUUUAUAUUUAUAUAUUUUCUUAAUAACAAAAUUCAUUUUUCUAAUUUCACUUUUAUGAUUCUUUUAACCCUAAUUCUUUUUCCUUCUUCUCUCUGAUCUAACGUUUGCCGUCUUCAUCUCCAUUAGACCGAUUUCUGUUCUCUCUCUCUCNNNNNNNNNNNNNNNNNNNNNUUCUCUCUCUCUCUCUCUCUCUCUCUCUCUCUCUCUCUCUCUUUUUCAACCAGCUUCUUAAUUACCUCCUUUUUAAUUGAUCAAUCCUAUCGAGCUUAGUGUAUAACAAGACGCAUAUUAGGUUUUCAUGGUCACUGUUGUGUUACAUGGGGUCGUCUAGCAUUUUCCCUUUGAUAUCAAUGUCACUGUGAUUUCUCAAAUGAGAAAUCCCUGGUGUAAAUUUGGAUUUCAUGUUGAAUUCAAUUGUACAUUCACCCAGUGAGGUUAAUAAUUGAUAGUGAGCACUAAUCUCUUUCCCCUAACAAUAUGUCGUGCACUAACUCUGGGACUUCUCUCACGUCCAAGUUUCUCUGAGCACUAAUCAACUGCAAAUUUCUACUACACUUAGAAGGUAUAAAGUUCUAGUUAGCUUAAAGCGAAAGCUUUAUGCUUUCAUACAUUUAGACCAAUAUCUCAAAUGAUCAAUAUGGACGAGAUCAACACUACCAAUAUCUAUAGCCUUCUUAGUAGUGAGGAGGAGAGAAUGGAAAUCCGACGUUUGAUGGAGAUGAAGACGGCAUAGAGAUCAAAUCAGAGAGAAGGAAAAAGAAUUUGGGUUAAAAGAAUCAUAAAAGUAAAAUUAGAAAAAUGAAUUUUGUAAUUAAGAAAAUAUAUAAAAUAUAAAAGAGUUGAAAUUAACGUAAGCUAUUACCUAAGAUAGGCUCUAAGUGGUUCCCCUAACGUUACUUUUUUGUCAUGCUUGCAAAGAAAAGCACUCGCGAACAACAGAAGUGCAUGCCUAGCCGGCCUAUUAGUUUUUGUUUGUUCACAAAAAAAGAAAUUAACAAAAAAAAAAAAGUCUCAACCGUUUCCAAUGGGUUUCUCUCAAUCUUUAACUCUGUGGAAAAGAAUUGUUGACCAACCAAAGGGGUUAGAAUGAUAUACGCAGAAGAAAAAUCUCUCUCGAUCGUCACCAAAGCAACGUCAUUAUAUCCAUAAGCAGAUCAGAAACUUAUAGGUUUCAAUUUUGCUCGAUAUUCUUAAGAUAUAUUAUUGAUCCGACAUGGCAUAUGAACGCUUUGUAAAUUGUCUGGAAAAUGUGUUUGCACAUAUAACAGUUGGGCAUAAUAUAAAUGAUUCAUGAAGUCAUGAACCUUAUUGUCUAUACAAUGAAAGAUCCAAUAAUGGAUUGAUUGUGGCCAAGUAGUUCCAUGUACGUAAAUGAAUUUUCCAUGCAUCGUGCAUGGCAAUUGGCAAACACGUAAAGGUAAAGGUUGGAGAUCGAUCUCAAGUCAAUCUCUUUAGCUUAGUCAGUCAACGAAAAGUCAUCGUUCAAUUUGUAGAAAACCUAGCCUGCACGAAUAAUGUUCGCUUUUGUCAUUCUUACGCGAGAUUUGAAAUCAAAACUUGUAGAAAUUGCAUUGUGAAACUGGCACGAAAUUAAGUCUGAUGCGGGAAUCGUGAACACAAUAGUAGGCGGUUCCUUCAAGCGUCAAAAACCAAUGGAGAUAACGUUGGAAUCCACCGACGACAGCCUUGAAUCCAUAAGACUAGGGUUUCUCGAAUCUACGAAAAGUUUAUGGAAUCCACCAAGAAUUUGAGAAAACUCAAAACUUUUAUUAAGAUGAAAAGAUUACCCUAAUACAAAGCAUGAUGAAGCUUAUAUAGGCAUCCAUACUAAGAAUUACAAUCAUAAUCUAACAUUGAAACCUAAGAAUCCAAAUUAAAAAGGAAACAAAUAACCCUAAAUAAAAGAAUCCUAAAAAGAAAAUAAAACUACCCUAAAAAUACUAAAUCGCAAAUCGGACAGUUAAGACGACAACUUUUGGCUUAAAUCUGAAAGGGCUCACUUUAGUGAGUCUUAUAGAUCUCGUCGUUCUUAUUCCGGCAAGGUAUCAUACAUCCUAGACAGACGUUAUGGUCAAAAGUAACUCCAAAUCAGAUAUAACAGAUUUUACACGACAAAUCCAAAAAGUCUAAAACAACAUCUUCUUGAAUAUUCCAGCGGCUAGCAACCUCAUGAUACGAGAAUUACCGAUAUUUAAAUCAUUCUUUUUUAUUAUUCGCCGUUUCCUUACUUUUAUUUUUUUCUGUCUAAAUUUGACCCAUUCUCGUUCUACAUCAAAGUCUGUGAAUUGGCUCGGUCGAUCAGUACGUUUCGGGACAACGAUGUACAUAACUUCACCUUCAAAGUUCGUUCUUGAAGGUUUGCUGCUGCUUGAAGGUGAUAGCUAGCUAGUACUGAUACCCAACAUGUUAUGUCAAGACCCACCCCGAAUUUUACCCUAAAACCUGGAAUAAAUUCUACAGGGACCACCUCCAAGGAAGAUAUUACUGAAAAUUCGGCAUAACCUCCCUUGGAAAUGGACAACCCUUCCUAAAGAAAACCUACAAACACUCUUAAAAUUCUCAAUCCACCCUUAACUUCUGGAGCCUACGUGCUCCUCAAACACAACCAUCACAACGUCAUCCAAACAUCAAAUAAAUACCCAGCUUAAACAGUAUCUUAUCUUUCAGAUAUUCUAAACAGAAAACAACAGACCGUACACUACCGAAAUAAUAUUAUACAAUAUCCCCAAGGGAAAAUCAGAGCUAAUAGACACUAGAGGAAACAAGAAAAACACAGGUAGGUUAAAUAGGUAACCUACGGAUGAAAUGUGGUGAAAAUGCAGGUGACUAUGUCUCGCCUCCUACUAGAUCCAACCUGAACUCAGCAGACUGGACAUUUUAAAACGAAGGGCCCAGGAGAAAACAUUUAAUAACGUUAGAGUGAGUGGAGAAAAAUAAAUUCAUACAAAUAUUUAUGCAUUCCCAUUUUAAUUUCCAAAGAAAUUAGGCUACAUGCGACCGCUCAAAACUGCUCAACUCAUAAACUGGCAAUUUCACGACUAGUUUCGGCUAGUCACCAACUCAAAUAAAAUGGAGCCUCUCAGGCUAGCUAAACUAUAUAUAAACAUAUAUGUAUAUGUAUUUACACUCGUCAGACUCUUUGUAUGAAUUCUAUGAACAAAUUAGAAAAUGGAAAUUCAUACAAGGCUACGACGCUUGCGUCUAACGCUCAUGUCGCGCCAUAAUGAAAUUUUUCCUCAUUAUGAACGAAGAGGACGGGUGUAUAUUUACGUGUGGACUCCCUAUAUGAAAACAUAAAAUAAACCAGAAAAAAAAGUAGUUUUCAUAUAGGGCUAUGACGCUUGUGUCUAACACUCACGUCACGCCAUAAUGAUAUUUUACCUUAUUAUGACGGACCAAGCACGUAUAGCUAGCUAUCAUUUAUAUACAUAUUAUACUCAUAACAUCCAAUAAACAUAUCCACCGAAAAUCUCAUUUUCGGGAACUCUCUAAAGGAGGAAAAUUGCCAAAUAACCGAGAAAUCAAUAAGUCUCAUCAGAAGAAAUAAAUUAUCAACAAAAUAAUUUAUCGCAUGCUUUUCAAUUAAAACAAAGGUCUACUCAAAAAUUAGGCCUAAGUCUGAUGUCGCUCCGAGGCUUCUUCUGCUCGGGCCUCCUCUCGUCCUAUUUCAAAUAUAUAAUUAAUUUCUCAACUAAAAAUCCAAUAUUUAGACAAAAUAGGCAAAAUUAACCGAGAGCCAUAAACAUGCUCAUCAUUGCCUAACUUCGAUAUUCUUAAAUCGAGACGACCCAAACUUUAAUACCAUAUAUACUCGGUAGCCGUAAAUACAACCUCCCCCAGAAAUUGACUUAAAUCCUACGGCCGGAUUCUACAUUAUUCAACCGCUAAAAAUACCAAACUUCGGAAAUUCACAAACCUAUCCAAAACUCAUCCGAAAAUUCCAUAAUUCACUUCAAUAAACUCCCCUUAAUAUUCCACAUUUAAAACCAUACAAAACUCCCAAACAGCGGCGGCGGCCGAAGGCCGAUUUCGGGCGACCUACAAUGCCCACCAAAUUUAAACAGUAGUUUCCUCUCAACCUACUCUACAACUUUUUUAACUAGCACAACACCCAAUUCCAAGCCUAACUAUGCCAAUCAAACGAAAACAUCAUAAAAGCCUUAGAAAAUUUAACUCCACAUUUCUCCUUACCUAGCUUAAGGGAGGGUGAGACAUUUGGAGGGGUUGCUGCACGGGAGGAGGGCUCUCUUUUGAGCAAACCAGCUCCGGCUAUGGCGGCCAGAGGAGGGAGUUCCGGCGAGGAUACCACCACGACAGCCGGACCUUUCGGGGGAGAGAACUCUUUCACGGCGGAGCUAGGGCGGCUCUCACCAGCUUAGAAUGGAAGCUGGGUUAGAGGCCGACCGAACGGGACCAGUGCAGUAGUCGCAGGCGGACGGACAGUGGCGGACGAGCGGCCGGAAGUUUGCAGGGGAGAGAGCUCGGGAGAAGGCUCGAGGAAGAGGGAAGAGAAAAGAGAGAGAAGGAGAGAAAGGAUUUAGGCCUUUACACCCGGUCCAACAUCCUUAUACCCACCCAACUCUAUAACUUUACACUCCAAAAUAAUAAUACCCUAAUAAAAAUUACCUUUUACUAGCUAAAAUUAUCAUUUAUACCAUCGUCACAUUUUUCUCUGAAGAAUAAUCCUCCGAAAAUAACCGUCCCCCAAACCCCUCUAGGGACCAAUUAAACUAUACCUCAAUGACGGAGACGGUAAAAAUUCUUAUUACAACUAAACUAGUAAAUAAGGUAAAAAUUUUAAGGUCGGGAUGUGACAUGUUAAAGUUUCCAAUUACUUUAAUUUGGUGUUGCCAGAUCGAUCGCUAAAUAACGCUAAUUCGCAUAAGGAUUACGCCCCAGUUAUUCGCUCAUAUAUUGCCUUUUCUAGUGCUUAUUUAGCUGUUCUAGACGUCAAUUGUUGAAAACUACUGCACUUCAUUAACACUACAAAUUUGACCACAAAUCAAUCAAUCCCAAAUCCCAAACAAGGGUUAGAUGAUAUAAGCACCAAUUAACAAGAGCAUAGCGACAUAAAAAAGACCUAAUUAAUCCUCACCCAGCCCAAAUGGCCAAAUCCUUAUCCCAGGUGGUUUAGAAUCUAUUUAGGGCUCUAUUUUAUUUCCGAAUUCCAAUCGAGUUUGGAUUUGAAUUUAGAAACCUAUAAAUACCAUCCAUGGGUACGUAGAAUGCUCCAUACAAAUCCAAAAUCGAAGAUGCAGAUUCCAAUCGGUGGUUAUCAUCACGUUGCGAUGCAAAAACCCCAAUCCCAGACCACAGGGUCUUUGGAGAAGGACAUUCUUCCCAUCAGUCUGCAGUUCUUGACGUUAAGACAAUGGCGCUGCAAUCCAUAUAUUACAACAUGUACUUUAGUUUGUGAACCACUUAUACAUGUGGAGUUUUCUGAUAUCAAGAAGCAAGCACAGGACAGUAGAAUCAAGUAGGUAUAUGAAAAUCUCUUCUCUGAGUAUCUGACGAUGAUGGAGGUGCCGGAAGAGGAACACGCCGCUGCGAUUCACAAAGCUUGAAUCCAGUUUUUUUAGCUUAUAUAUAGGUCGUACGCAUGUAGAGACUCCUCUUGAACUUGAGACUUCAUUAUUAAUUUCACUAAAAUCAUCCCCAAACAAGGGUUAUAUGUUUCAAAAAAUGAUUGCACGAGAGCAUCUAUAUCAGACGAGAGCGUAUACGAACAUAUAUUCAAGUUAAUUUAUAAUUUUUUCAAAUGCAAAGAGCCUUCUACCCAAAUGAAGUGGUUAAUUUCAGCUUGCUAUCCUUGUAUUGAACCUAUAUAUAGCUGGGGCCUUAAACUUGAAUUGUUUAGUUCAAUGAUAAAUUUCAACUUUCAAGUCCAAAUUUUCCUCUCUUCGUUCUCAAAGUUCAAAUAUUUAUCCAAGAGACCUUUUAGGUUUUUUUUUUUUUUUUUUUGUUUUUUUUUUUUUUUUUUUUUUUUUCUUUUACCUUAAGAAAGAGACAAAACUAACAAGAAAAAUAGAAAUACGAUACUUAAAGACAUACUUCAUCUACCAAUAGCUAGUAGCCAUAAUGCCCAACCCAGCAACCGUAGUACACAUGACCACAAGUACGUAGUAGUAAUAAUCUAGGAACAAUUCAACUGUUAGAAACUUCUGUCCAAAAAAAAAAAAAAAAAAAUCAUCUGUUAGAAAGAAGAAGGAAUUUGAUGAAAUACGAGGAAGUAGAUAGAGCUUUCCCAGUUUACGGCUAAAGUGAAGCUUACACGAAAGCAUCAUCACCACAAACAGAAGACGUAGUCUUACUCUUUCAUAAUUAUGUACUAUAUGCCUCGUUAAUAUAUAUAAUACACCAGAUCGAUUUCGCAGAACAAUUAAUUAAUAAUCUUGUUAAUUUGAGAGUGUUGGAGUUGGGAGAGAAACCAGAGAUUAGAAGAACACAGAGAGAAAUGGGAGGUUCUCGAAGAAGCGAUCGAACCUAUCAGUAAGGCGCUGCAGCAGCAGCAGGCAUGGCUAUAGUCAAGAAUGUUUCGAUGUUUUCGACUACUUACCCCCAGGAUGUUCAUACUUGAAUGAACCAACUGCAGAUCAUGAACCUAGCCUUUCUUCUUCUUACGAACCAGGUCUUCACACUGCAAAGUCACAGCCCCUGCCAUCUGCUCCAGUACUACCAUUUGCAUACGAUGAUGAAGAAGAGAAGCAGAUUGAUAAGGCGAUUUCCGCAUCUCUGGAAGUAUCAAACCUUCCUAGUGCAUCUUCUACCUUGAGCAUGAACCCUAGCUAUGCAUGUGAUGUCGACGAAGAAGACCGGCAGAUUGAUAUGGCGAUUUGGGCCUCUCUGAAAGCAUCAAACUUUCCUCGGCCAUCUUCUACCCUGAGCAUGAGCCCUAGCUAUGAUCAAGAAUGGUCAUCUCGGUUUGAUAUUGGUAGCAGCUCUUCUUCUUCCCAGUCAAAAGAAAAUCCAAAUCAUUUCAGUGGCGAAUUAGGAGGAUGUGGGAUAUGUUUCGAAGUUGUAUCAAUGCCAGCAAUAUGUUACCCCUGUGGGCAUGUGAGUUGCUACGAGUGUUUGCUACGGAUUCAGGGCAGUACUAAUAGAUGUUCUCGUUGUCGUGGAGCAAUCACCAAAGUUAUGAGGAUUUGUAUGUAGAAUAAUGUGGAUUGAGCAUUUGAGCCACACCAAGAGUUAGACAUUAGUAUAUAAUAAUAUAAAUAUAGACAUUUGUACGUAUACUGUCUGGUAGACGAAGUCAUGAAGUGUAUACUUUGUAAUAGACCAAGUAUAUCCUCCUUUUGAGCCAAAAGCAUCAGAUUUAUUGCGAAGCAGCAUAUUUACGUUGCUCUUAUAGAACUCAUGGUUUUCGUUUCGUUUUUGGCAGGAGUAUUCAGACUUGAAGGUGGAGUUGAGUAGAACAGAGAAACAUAUUUUGAAAGAGAUGGGUUUCAUUUGCCAUGUUGAGCAUCCCCACAAGUUCACCUUGAAUCACCUCCAGAGCUAACGCAAGAAGCCUGGAAUUUAGCAAAUGACAGGUGCCUUUUUAUCAGAAACCAAUUUCUUUUUUGUUUUGUUGGUCUUGAUAUUUAACUUCUAACUUUUGAAUUUGAAGUAGGCGUGUUUGUUUAUUUACAAUUAUCUGUUAUACCUGGAGAUGUUAGUCAAUUACUCUUUUAUUAUACCAAUGAGGGUUAGUGGAAUGUUCAGCCGACCAUGUUUGCUCCCACCUGGUAUGGGGUCGGAAAUCCCUCAUUUGCUAGAGAUUCCUGCCUCUUAAAGAUCGUAGCGUUAGGAGGCCCCAGUUUUUUGUCAGGACAUGUCAAGCAGGUUUUGGGGAUAUCUGGGUGUAGACAAGAAGGUUCAUAAUGUGAUGCUUAUUGAUACAGCAGUUUACUUUAAAUAGAUGGAAAUAGCUAUAUUAAAAACUGUUUUAGAACCAUUAGUGUUUGAACUCUGUUGUGUAGAGUAGAUUUCAUGCCGUAUUUAUAUGGGUUGCAUGUCUAUCCAGAAAACUGGAUUGGUGUAGCAUGUCAAAAUCAAAAGUUGGGUCUCUCAUAGGGGGAUAGAUUAAUAAAGCUAAUUUAGAAAAGGAAAGGACUUAAGUACUCGUCUGCAACUAGUAAUGGAUUUGACUCCGAGCUUUCAAAGGUUUAUGGUUUUUAAAUGGCAUUUGAUUUUGCUUUUCACUAGAAUGAUCUCAUGAACUUUAUGCUAUUGGUUUAAUUCUUAUUGUUUCUCAACUUUUAUUUGGAGCAGCUUGCGUACAACUUUGUGUGUUCGAUUCAAGAGUGAGGUUGUUGCUUGUGGUGUGUGUAUGCUGCUGCUCGGAGGUUUCAUGUUCCCCUUCCUGAGAAUCCCCUGUGGAGGUAUUGAUGCUGACAAAUCAGGGAUUGAUGAAGUUUGUAGGGUUCUUGCUCAUNNNNNNNNNNNNNNNNNNNNNNNNNNNNNNNNNNNNNNNNNNNNNNNNNNNNNNNNNNNNNNNNNNNNNNNNNNNNNNNNNNNNNNNNNNNNNNNNNNNNNNNNNNNNNNNNNNNNNNNNNNNNNNNNNNNNNNNNNNNNNNNNNNNNNNNNNNNNNNNNNNNNNNNNNNNNNNNNNNNNNNNNNNNNNNNNNNNNNNNNNNNNNNNNNNNNNNNNNNNNNNNNNNNNNNNNNNNNNNNNNNNNNNNNNNNNNNNNNNNNNNNNNNNNNNNNNNNNNNNNNNNNNNNNNNNNNNNNNNNNNNNNNNNNNNNNNNNNNNNNNNNNNNNNNNNNNNNNNNNNNNNNNNNNNNNNNNNNNNNNNNNNNNNNNNNNNNNNNNNNNNNNNNNNNNNNNNNNNNNNNNNNNNNNNNNNNNNNNNNNNNNNNNNNNNNNNNNNNNNNNNNNNNNNNNNNNNNNNNNNNNNNNNNNNNNNNNNNNNNNNNNNNNNNNNNNNNNNNNNNNNNNNNNNNNNNNNNNNNNNNNNNNNNNNNNNNNNNNNNNNNNNNNNCAACUCUUGCCGAUACAUCUAAUUCAAAGGCGCCGACAGCUGUAGCCAGUGGCGGAUCCAGGAAUUGAAACCGGGUGAGACUUGACUUUCCACCAUUAAAAAAAAAAAAAACUACGCUGUGAUAGGAGGAAUAUUAUAGAUGAAAAAAAAAAAUUGACACACCUAGACAGAAGGGGACGAAAUGAGCCUUAUCUCUCGAAAACAAGUUUAUACUCGAUUAACUAAAUCUAACCCUACGAGUACCUGAAAAUUGUUUAUCGUAAAGUCAUUACUAAUAGAAUCAGCAUAUUCCUUCUUAAUGUGGAGGACCAUGUAAUCACAUAAAACUCGCCGAUACAGGUUGUUGCACGACAAACUGCUUGGGCAGUGGAGGAGAAGACGACAAGAAGAAAGAUAGAAGUACGUUUUGAAGACUAUUCUCUCUUUUUGUUGGAAAAAAAGGACAUAAAAGUUGGUCACUUAGGCUUGAACGUCAGCCCAAGAAUUAUACACUUGAGACUUUUGGGUCAGUUGGGUGGGACUCACUCAAAAGAUUACAAUGACAUUAUAAACUACAUGUAAGAAUUUUUUUUCCCUCCAAAAGUUUGGGUGCGACUUGAGUCCCAGUCCCAUAUGCUGUAGAUCCGCCCCUGGCUGUAGCCAAUCCUGAAUCCUCUGGAUCAAAGGGUGUAAGCAUAACAGCCUCCGAUAAGGAAAAGGAUUCUAAAGAAAGUGAUGAUGAAUCUAAGAGCUUGCCUGUUGAUUUAGAGGUAAGAGAAGAUCUGAACAUGACUACCACAGUUCCUCAUAAUCUGACAUGUAUCGUUAUUUUGCAGACCGUGACUACCACAGUUCCUCGUAUUCUUCAAGGGAGAAGGAUCGCUAUAGACAUCACCCCUAUGCCUGAAUGGUGAAUGUAUUCAUCUCGGUUUCUCUUGAUUAAACUUGUAGAAUUCAAAUACUUGAUUGUAUGUUGACACAGUUUCGCAGAAAAGAAAGUGAUCUCCUGUUGAAGGGCCAGGGAAGGCAGACGUUUUGACGAUGAAAAAAAAAGGGGUUUGUCUGAAUAAUCCUUAAAUACCUCGGCAGCUCUUCGAGAAAUAGGUUCAAUCCGUAUGAACAUGAUGAAUGUUGUGCAGUGGAAAAAUAGAGAUGUUUGUGAUUUCAUAAUCUCCGUCUUAACUUGAAAAGCAUCCAAAAUUUAUAUAGCAAAUCUAUCACCUCUAUCUAUAGCCAAAGAUUUAAUUUCUUUGCUAGAUCAGUAUCAAAUACAACCAACUACUAUAUAAACACCAUUCGUGCAGUCUCAUCCUUCAAGUUUAGACUCAAGCCACAACAUUGGCGUAGAAAUCAACAGUCAUUGAUGGUGAUGCGCCGUAGAUCCUCGUCGCAGUACUUGCUCUUCUCCAAUGUCGUGAUGCGACAUUGGCAUCAAUGUCGUGAUGCGACAUUGGCAUCAAUGUCGUGUGGAAGCCUAUACCAAGCACCACCGACCCAGCAGUGGUUGGCCUGCGUCAGUGCGUCUGACGUUUACUAUAUGCUUAUUCUCGUCGCCAGAAAUGAGAAAGGCUCCGCAGAUUAUUAAUAUACUGUAAUCCUGGAUCACCAGCACGACCGCAGGGAAUUAAUAGGCUUUUAUUCAGAUUGAUUAGUUGCAUAUGACCUUUCUCUCUAACAACAAGAGUGUAAUGAGAUUUGGUAUCCAAACCAAACCAGAUAUUAGGAAUUAAUACUCGGAAAUGAGUGUGUUUGUCAGUUUGUGUCCAAUUUCAUUAUUCAUUCUAGAAUCUAGAGCUUUGUCUUGAUAAUAAUAUUGACAAAGAACUACAAAGAUGAAUCCUUUUAAAAUUUGUGAGAUUCUAGAUUCUAGAGAUUUAAGUUGCUAAAUUUCUGCCCUUUGUAAGAGGAAGACAUAAGUGCUAACUAAUCACCGGUUAAUUUCAUCUACAUAUCUAGACGAACUUUAGGGGUGCUGAUACUAGAACACUGUUCGCUGUUCUAAAGUUGUAGAGUAGAUGGUUGGGUUGCAUUGAAAGUGAGAGGCUUGAUGUCUCUGGCGCGCAUGUAGCUCAAGAACUGUCCAGGCAACUCUUCGAGAAGAGAUUGAAGAGCCGAAAUUCGCCCGCCUGCUAAAACCACAAUGAGUUUUUGUUUUAAUUCAGAAUAAAUGGCUUCAAUCCAUAUGAACAUGAUUAAUGUUGUGGAGAGGAAAAAUAGAGAUGUUUGGGACUUACUAUGCACAUCUCUCAUAGGAACAAACUGUACGAUGUCUCUUGUAGCCACACGACCUGUUGAACUUGAUAAUCGCUGUCCAUUAUCAGCAUCGAGAAUCUGCCAAAUACAAUAUUCACAUGGGCAUUCAGAAUUCUAGUUGUUGAAAUUCCAACAUAUGUAGCAUCAGGAGAAAGAGAUGACUCGUAAAAAGAAACAAAAGCAUACCUCCAUUUGUUUAAAAUCCGCUGUUCCUACUCCAACUAUUAGAAUUGAGAGGGGAAGAUCAGAUGCCCUCACCAAAGCAUCUGUUGUUUCCUGGAGGUCUGUAAGGAUCCCAUCCUAUAAAAGGNNNNNNNNNNNNNNNNNNNNNNNNNNNNNNNNNNNNNNNNNNNNNNNNNNNNNNNNNNNNNNNNNNNNNNNNNNNNNNNNNNNNNNNNNNNNNNNNNNNNNNNNNNNNNNNNNNNNNNNNNNNNNNNNNNNNNNNNNNNNNNNNNNNNNNNNNNNNNNNNNNNNNNNNNNNNNNNNNNNNNNNNNNNNNNNNNNNNNNNNNNNNNNNNNNNNNNNNNNNNNNNNNNNNNNNNNNNNNNNNNNNNNNNNNNNNNNNNNNNNNNNNNNNNNNNNNNNNNNNNNNNNNNNNNNNNNNNNNNNNNNNNNNNNNNNNNNNNNNNNNNNNNNNNNNNNNNNNNNNNNNNNNNNNNNNNNGAAACAAUCACCAACAUAAAAAAAAUUCAUUGGUCAGUGACUUGGUAUGUAAGUUUGCAAACCAGAGUAGAAUGCCAUAUGUGAGGAACCAGACUCUUAAUCUACCUCAAAGCCAGUUGCAGUUCCAUCCAAGUUAAAACAGUGCGACACAGGCCCUCCAGCUGUCCUUCCUCCAAAACCCCAAGCAGGAAAACGUUUAUCAGCAUCAUAAAACUGAAUAACUUCCCCAACUUCUGUUAUUGCCUGCAAAAUGCAAAAAUAAACUUGAUUACAUUUACAGAUACCACUCAACUAUUACUCACAGAAGAUACCUUCUAUGGUUAUUUCUUUAAAUCAAAGAACACAUAUUGUGUUGCAUGUUAUCAGACAUUUGUUAAUUACUAAAAUAUAACCAAAGUCUUAGUUAUUAAAGCACCACAUUUGCUAACCUGCUGGUAAGAAUUCAACCGGCCAUAGGGAUCAAUGUAGUGCAACGAAUCAGGUUUUCGAGGAUCUCCAUUUGAAGCUGUGACAAAAUUCAGUAUCAAGGCAUGCAAAUAGAUUGGAACGAUAAACAUUUCAAUAGUCCCACUCAAUUCUUACCAGUAAAGUCAACAGAAACCAUGAAGUUAAGCUCAAACCCACUGGAAAUAUAAUCGACAAAGCUGAACUGCUGCUUCUCAUUAAAUUGAUCCACAAACAACUGACCCUUUGACAACUACAACACCAUUAACAAACAGUGAGUACAUUUACAUGUAUGCUACAAGUAUAUGAACUAGAAUGCAAGCUUGAAUAAACACCUUUUCACGACCAAGAGAAGAUGGAAUGACAAAAUUCACCCCACUUCUUUCUUUGAAUAAUCUCUCCAGGUCUGCCACAGAUUUUUGAAGUUUCCUAAAUUAGACAAAGAGGCAAAUUGAAAAAGGUUGGUUGUCUUCCUUUUACAGGCAAAAAUACAAAGUUGAGAUAAAAGUGAAAAAAGAACCAAUAGUUUUAAUAAUUACCCAAUAAGAACAUGAUUGCCAUUACUGUUGAAAUCAAAGCACUCGAUGAUUAAUGGAUUAUCCUGCACCAAAUUUAAGUUGCAUGAAUUUUCUACCUUAAUUGUCAAUCUACUAACCGUAUUUAACAGGUGAGCAGAAUUGGCAAGCUUACCUUGCUUCCAAACUGCUGCAUACUCAGGGACAGCAGUUUCCAAACUGGAUUUAAAUUGUUAUCCACUACUUCAGUCUUGCAAAUUGGAACAGAACUUCCACUCUCAACAAUUCUUGAUACUCUUAAGAAAGGAUCCUAUAGUAAAGAAGUCAAAAAGAUGUAUAAGAAUCACUAAACCAAACCAAAAAAAAAAAAGAAAGCUAAUACUAUGUAUGAAAUGAAAAAGAUCUUAACAAUCGGUUUCAUAAGGCGUACACUUUUAGAGAAGAGGUCUUUGUUUUCCAAUUGGGAACAACGAAAUUUUAUCUCAACAACACUCUUCGAAGCCAUAGUUUCUUCAGCAUGGACAAUGAGUGUUCCUAAGUUUCUCGUACCUCCACGCCCGCUUCUGUUAUGCAGCUUCAAGGUUACACUUCGACUUUGUUUUGUCACUAUCUGCAAUUAGAAAAAAACAUGUUUACAAACACAAUAUAUCUCACCAUUUAGCAAAUGAUAAAACAUUUUUGCAAUACAAGACAUACAAACUGAU